AGCUUGGUGCAAAGCAGGCACAAAUGUCCACAUGCAGCCAGGGUGCUGACUGAGGUGACCAGUUUGCUUGAGUUUUCAUGCUCUGCACUCUCCAGCGGAACCGCAGCUGCAGGACUCUUAUUUUUGUGAUGUGGAGCAUGUCUGGGUGUGUGGCAGGGGGAACUGAAAUAGUCUCUGCUGACUUUUUGUACCUACAGAUUUUGUUUCAUUGCUCAUUUUGGAAAAGGGAAGCCCUUAUAGGGGCCAAAUUAAUGGUUUUUCUGUAAAUGAUUUUUUCCCCCCUCAAACUCCAUUGGCUUGACUUCCAGUGAUAUAGAAAGGCAAUAUGGUGAACUUCUCAGCCCGAAAAAGGAGAUUUCCAAUCAGGGCCGAGAGGCUCAUGCUAAGGUGGAAAGAUUUUCCUCCGUUAUGGACUCUUGGAUACCCACGGGAGACUUAAAAGGCCCUCAGACCACGGGAUUAAUGGUUGGUGUGAAAGGUACCGACUGCAAGUUUCAACUUGUAAAAACACUUGGCCGUUGGGCUCCUUUGGAAUCGUCUUGAGGCUUCAGAUUCUGAUAUUUCAUGAG
rnacentral:sRNA from 1 species